rnacentral:lncRNA from 1 species
AUGAUCAGCUUCGUCAUGAUCUGCUGCAACGACGUUUAGCUUCCGCUCAAUUAUUUCUAUUAUUUGAGAACUCUACAAACCUUGCUUGAAUUUCGAACUUGAGAUUGUAAUAAUUUGAUGCACUUGUUUAAUUGGGAUGGUGUGUUGUAAUCUUUGUAACCACACGCCUUCGUGCGAGUCUUGCUUUCUCGAUCCUGAGUUAAGUUGUUUAUUGGAUGAAAUUUGACGGACGACCAAGUUGACUUGUUUAAAGUUCAUGAUCGCGCGUUAAGUGACUUAAGUGUGCUUUAUCCAUAUUAAUUCGGGCAGUUCCUCACCUCCUCCUAGCCCCCAUCCUAAAUCCUCACCUCCUCCUAGCCUCCAUCCCAAAUCUUCACCUCAUCCUCACUGCCAUCCAAAAUCUUCACCUGCUCGUCACCAUCCACAAUCUUCCUCUCAUCGUUGCCGCCCAUUUCCCAUCUCCCUCCGUAGGACCAGCGGUGAUGCAAUGGCACCAGGCGGGAAGGUUGUAUGAAGGGAACAUCAACAACCAGGUACAAUAUUUUCCUCCC